rnacentral:lncRNA from 1 species
UUUUUUUCUUCUUUUAAUUAAUUUAUUAAUUAUUAUUUCUUACAUUUAAAAUAUUUUUUAAAUGCAAAUAAUAAUAAUAAUUUAUUUUAUUAAAAAAUAUAUAACACAACUGACACAAAUACCCUUAACAAAUUUAUUUGGAAAAGGAUAAAAAAGGACAAAAGAAACUUUAUACACUUUGCAUCAUGUUGCACCAAAACGAUGCAAAGUAUAGUGUUUCAUUGGAGCAACUUUGCACCAAAAAAUGAUUCAAUUUUGAGGAUUUGGUAUUACCAUUGUAGUUGCCCUAAUGGCAUCUGAAAGAAUGCCUUAACACAUUGCAUUUUUUGCUAUUGAAAAUGUAUAUGAGACCAUUCAGGUAGGAAAAAUAUUAAAACUUAGAAAACCAUCCAACUAUAUAAAGAUAAUCUCAAACGGUGUAUGCGACCACAUCAUGCUGCAGCAUACGUAUGUAAAUGCCCAAGUACCAUCCAACU